rnacentral:lncRNA from 1 species
ACACAAUGAAAACUAAACACAUAUUAAAUUUGAGUUUAUUGAUAUUAUAAAGCUCUAUAAGGGUAAAACUCCUGAGUUCACACAAUGAAAACUAAAGACAUAUUUAAUUUGAGUUUAUUAAUAUUACAAAGCUCUAUAAGGGUAAAACUCCUGAGUCCACAUAAUCAAUACAUUAGCUUUAUGUAACAAAAACAUAACAAAAAUAUAACAGGGUAACACUACAUUCUAUCUUUAGCGAUAAAGAGCAAAAUUAAAACCUAUAAACAGUGAAUGGUUAUAUCAGAGCUGAUGCAAUAACAACAUGCUUAGUGAUAAUAUAAUAAAAAGCUUGACAUAAGUAUAUAUAGACCUAUAUAAACAAUUGGAUAUGAACUUCCAUAAUUUUUUCAGUCAAAAUAUGAUCAAUAUAAUGCAAAGUUUAUUACAUAAUCAAAUCAAUUACAAUUUAUGUCAGCUGGACAUUAACCGGCUUUUAAAAAAAUUUGAAACUGGUGUACUGGCAUUUCAAUUCAGCAAUUAUUUUUGGUUAGAACUGAAAACUCUAUAACUACUGAAGACAUUUUAUCAAAUUUAUUUCAAAAUGAAAAGUGUCUGUCUAAUGUUAGAAGUUCUAUUAUGAACUGUUGGUUAUAUAUAAUAUCAAAUAAACCAAAAUGAAGCAAGCUAAACAAUUAAAUGAGUCAUUGUGUAUUAAAAAUAUCAUCAGUUGAAAAGUGUUCAAGUUAAGUACACAAAUGUGUGGUAAUGUAAUUGUAUUUAUGAUAACUGCAAACUUAACACACUAAAACAAAAUAUGCAAAAGCACUGAACUCAAGUGACUGAUAUUUAAAACCACAAAUAAUGAAACUAAAACAAAAAAGUUUCUCUUGUUGGCAAGAAAAAUCUGACACAAUAAUUUUAAUCUAUAUUCUACGACAACAUUUGCAUCAAUUAAAGUCAUAUGUAGAAUCUAAUUCUAAGUUUCAGCUAAAGAAGGCUUAGACUGUUGUUGCCAUAGCAAAUAUUUCCUAUAAAUAAAAACCAACACAGUGUUAUGGUGGCUAUAAGCUGAAGAAGGCAUACAUAAAUAUGGCAAUCAUACCACAUCAUCUUUUUUAUAUAUAGCUUCCAUGCUGUAUAAAUGAUAAGCAGGGGAAAAUAUCAAUAUAUGUAUCAACUAGAUAUCUGACUGGCAUGGUAAUAUGGGUAAAGAAAUUAGCCA